rnacentral:snoRNA from 1 species
GAAAAUGAUGAUAUUCAUUGUCGCCCCAGUCUUACAAGCAUCAAUUCUUGAUGCUGUAUGGUGAUCGACUAAACACACAUAUCUGAUUC